GGGGAAUAUUGCACAAUGGGCGCAAGCCUGAUGCAGCCAUGCCGCGUGUGUGAAGAAGGCCUUCGGGUUGUAAAGCACUUUCAGCGAGGAGGAAGGGUAGUGUGUUAAUAGCACAUUGCAUUGACGUUACUCGCAGAAGAAGCACCGGCUAACUCCGUGCCAGCAGCCGCGGUAAUACGGAGGGUGCAAGCGUUAAUCGGAAUUACUGGGCGUAAAGCGCACGCAGGCGGUUUGUUAAGUCAGAUGUGAAAUCCCCGCGCUUAACGUGGGAACUGCAUUUGAAACUGGCAAGCUAGAGUCUUGUAGAGGGGGG
rnacentral:rRNA from 1 species